GCAUUGCUCCUGUAGAAUACAAUCUGCAUGAAUCAGCUUGUAUGAACGGUUCUGAAAGUUACAGUUAUGAUUUAGACUCCUUUUCGUACAACUUUGUAUACAAUCCAACUAAAUAGUCAUUGAGGUCAGUUUCAGGUCUAAUCUUUAAUUCCUGAUCCAACUAGUGAAGUCCUGGGAGGGGUGUUGGAGUUGAACUUUACAGGGUGGGAGAUCUGCAGGAAUGAAGAAUGAAGAGAGACGCCUAAACGGAGUGGCGAGUCUCAGUUAAACGGCUGUACUGUUAUCCAGGUCCCCACAACACACCUUUCUCUUGAGAACGAAGACGGACAGGGGCUUCGGGUGGAUCAAGGAAAAGGCACUGAAUUACUAAAGAGCUAUAACUAUUAGUAUUAGUGAAGAUCAUCUAUAUAAUAUUUAGAUUCUGCAUUUUACGGUGCAUUUUAAUUCUCCAACGAAAUGGCGGUUCAAGUCCCCUGAACCCAGCUAAUGAGGACCUUUAGCUCUGGAGUGUGUUUAAGAACAUGAGAGCUGGACGUGCUGGAGUUCAACUGUACAGGGAGUAAGAGUUGUUUGAAUCCCUUUAGGACACAUCUUCGUAGAGAACGAAGGGGAAAGCGAGUUUGGUGUCACACACGGAUGGUUAGGAGAAGAAAAAAAACCGCUGAAUUAGUAAAGAGCUGCGGUUUUCUGUUUCUCCUCUCCACUCUGAAGAGCUCUCGUUUCUGAGCUGAGGAACCGGACACCUGAAGACACGACACCACGGCCUCGCACAUGACUUCAGGUACACUAUAUGGCCAAAAGUACUUGGACACCUGAUCAUUGGACGAGUAUCAGAGGAGAACGAUCAGGAAUCCCAGGAGGUCAUCGCUGACUUUGUCAACUGGUGUUAGUUAAACCACCUCUGCCUCAAUGCCAGCAAGACAAAGGAGAUGGUAGUCGACCUCCACAGGAGGCCACCCCGGUCUUCGCGGGUGAACAUCCAGGGUGUUGACAUCAAGAGGGUGGAGACAUAAAUUCCUGUGUGUUCACUUCAACAAUAAACUGGACUGGUCCAUAAACACAGAUGUCCUGUAUAAAAAGGGCCAAAGUCAUCUCCACCUGCUGAGGAGACUGAGGUCUUUUGGUGUGUGCAGUACCCUGCUAAAAUCUUUUUAUGACACUGUGGUAGCAUUUGCUAUCUUCUAUGCAGUAGUUUCCUGGGGAGCCUGGAGCACAGAGUGGGACAGGAAACGUAUUAGCAAACUGGUUAAGAGGGCUAGCUCUGUCCUGGUCUGCCCUCUGGACAGCACAGAGGUGGUGGGGGAGAGGAGGAUGUUAGCUAAGCUGGUGUCUAUCACGGGAAAUUCCUCUCACCCCUUGUAUGAGACAUUGGGGUCCCUGAGCAGCUCCUACAGCAGCAGACUGCUGCACUCUCAGUGCAAGAAAGAGUGCUACCUCAGGUCCUUCAUCCCUACAGCAGUCAGACUUUUUAAUACAAAAAACAACAUAAUGUAGCACUGCUAGUUGUUUUGCGUAAUCAACCUACACAUUCACAAUAAUUCUGCAUUAUGAACAUUUAUUCAUUUAUUAUUAUUUGUUGCUCA